rnacentral:rRNA from 1 species
GAUGAACGCUGGCGGCGUGCCUAAUACAUGCAAGUCGAGCGAACGGACGAGAAGCUUGCUUCUCUGAUGUUAGCGGCGGACGGGUGAGUAACACGUGGAUAACCUACCUAUAAGACUGGGAUAACUUCGGGAAACCGGAGCUAAUACCGGAUGAUAUUUUGAACCGCAUGGUUCAAAAGUGAAAGACGGUCUUGCUGUCACUUAUAGAUGGAUCCGCGCUGCAUUAGCUAGUUGGUAAGGUAACGGCUUACCAAGGCAACGAUGCAUAGCCGACCUGAGAGGGUGAUCGGCCACACUGGAACUGAGACACGGUCCAGACUCCUACGGGAGGCAGCAGUAGGGAAUCUUCCGCAAUGGGAAAGCCUGACGGAGCAACGCCGCGUGAGUGAUGAAGGUCUUCGGAUCGUAAAACUCUGUUAUUAGGGAAGAACAUAUGUGUAAGUAACUGUGCACAUCUUGACGGUACCUAAUCAGAAAGCCACGGCUAACUACGUG